rnacentral:rRNA from 1 species
AACGAACGCUGGCGGCAGGCCUAACACAUGCAAGUCGAGCGAAGCCUUCGGGCUUAGCGGCGGACGGGUGAGUAACGCGUGGGAACGUGCCCUUUGGUACGGAAUAGCCCCGGGAAACCGGGAGUAAUACCGUAUGUGGUCGAGAGACGAAAGAUUUAUCGCCAAAGGAUCGGCCCGCGUUGGAUUAGGUAGUUGGUGGGGUAAUGGCCUACAAAGCCGACGAUCCAUAGCUGGUUUGAGAGGAUGAUACAGCCACACUGGGACUGAGACACGGCCCAGACUCCUACGGGAGGCAGCAGUGGGGAAUCUUAGACAAUGGGGGAAACCCUGAUCUAGCCAUGCCGCGUGAUCGAUGAAGGCCUUAGGGUUGUAAAGAUCUUUCAGUGGGGAAGAUAAUGACUGUACCCACAGAAGAAGCCCCGGCUAACUCCGUGCCAGCCGCCGCCGUAAUAC